rnacentral:rRNA from 1 species
CCUACGGGUGGCAGCAGUGAGGAAUAUUGGUCAAUGGACGAGAGUCUGAACCAGCCAAGUAGCGUGAAGGAUGACUGCCCUAUGGGUUGUAAACUUCUUUUAUGUGGGAAUAAAAUGUUCCACGUGUGGGCUUUUGUAUGUACCAUAUGAAUAAGGAUCGGCUAACUCCGUGCCAGCAGCCGCGGUAAUACGGAUGAUCCGAGCGUUAUCCGGAUUUAUUGGGGUGAAAGGGAGCGUAGGGGGAUUGUUAAGUCAGUUGUGAAAGUUUGCGGCUCAACCGUAAAAUUGCAGUGGAAACUGGGAGGCGGGAGGGGAGGAGGGGUGGGCGGAAUUCGGGGUGUAGGGGGGAAAUGCGUAGA